rnacentral:lncRNA from 1 species
ACUAAAGAACUUUGCUCUCUCUUACUUCUCUGUUUUGGUUCUCUUCUUUAAACACAAAACGUUUAGCAACUUAGUGAGAAGAGAUAAAUCUUUAAUCUUAUGCAUUGAUGUUUUCAUUACAACACUCACACAUAUUUACACUCACCCAAACCCAAGCCCAAGCUUCCCUUGCCACUACCAACUUAAACUCCAAGGGUGAAGAAUUUUGGUAUCAGAUUCAAUUUUAAUGAAAACAAAAGACAAGGUACCAAUUUUGCUAUUGUUUUAGAUGUUCUGCUGUUAGACAAUUUUGAGUGUAUUUAUCAAUGGUUCAAUGAGCAUUCGUCUUUGUUGCGCUAAAAUAAAUACUACAGUAGUAAUAGUUAUGUACCAGAAUUUCUAAACAUACUAGUUAUAUUAAUAACAAAUGUAUUCAAGAAAAACAAAAGAGAGCAUCCCAAUGUUAGAUUGGAGAUUACAAAAUGAGAAACACUCACUAACAGAAGAUGUCAACAAAGGUUUUGAGUUUUUUGUUCUGAUGAAUAUCGAAAUUAUGAUAGUAAUAAAUUGUCGAACGAAAUAAUGAUAGUAAUAAAUUGUCGAACGAAAUACCACUAAGCCCUACGUGUGAACACUAAAAAUAGCCUGAAGAGACAAGUUUGCUAGUAUUUGACAUUGAAAAUGCGUGACAUUGACAGUGAUACAAAGUUUCCAUUUCUCCAAAAAUACUAUCGGUUUCUUAUUACUUUAUCAACUACUCCAUCUCUUUUAAAAUGUACCAUGUAUUAAAGUUUUUAUUUUGUUUCAAAAUAUAUGAUGUUUUACAAUUUUAUACGCAAUUUUAAAUAUAAGUAAUAUUAUAUGACUAUUUGUAUUUUGCGAUCUUUUUUCUAAUUGAUUUAAAUUUUUUAAAUCAAAUAUUAAAUGAUAUUCUAUCAAUUUCACAAAGAGUGUUAUUCUACUAUUUUUAACACAAAUUAAGAAAAAUAAACAAAAUUCAUUUAUACCUUUUAUUAAUACACUAGAUAGUUCCUUCUCCCUAAUUAAUAAGCUGGAAUAAUAAGGAUACAAAAGAUAAUUAGUCUUAAAAACUGCAUUGAAAACAUAAAACGACAUUUUUUGUAAAACAAGAUUAAAACCUUAAAACAACAUUUUUUGUGAAACGGAAAGAGUAGUUUUAAGAAAAAAAGAAAAAUUACUUAAGAUAUGUGUUUUUAACUAAAAUAUCGUAUAUUUUGUAACAGAGAAAAUAGUAGAAUUUAACUAAAUAGCUUGUGACAUAUAAAUAUUAUAUAUAUUUCAGUCUUACCUUUGAUAUGUGACAAUUAAACGUCAUUAUUGAUUUUGACAAAAAAUUUGGAUUUUUUUCUUAACCAUGUGAUUAGAACUUAUCUACCAUGGUCUUUAGUCUUUACUCUCUUGCUCUUGUUUUUAGGUACGACGAAAAAGGGUUUAAUUGUAAUGUUUGAUAAUUUGGGGAUUAAAAUAAAUCUCAAAUUUAAUGAGGUAGGUUUACAUAAAAAAAAACAAUAAGAUGUGUAUUUGUUUUGCAAUUUUCUCAAAGACAAGAAGAGUACGAGACUCGUCGUCGUCUUUCUUCCUCAACUUCAACAAAUAGAAAAUUGGAUUAUUUCAGACCAAAAGUCAUUGUCUCCGCCUACAAAAUCGGCGAUUAUUAAUCACAUUGUCCUCUUCUAUGUCUGAUCCACUUUAAUCUCUUCAAAAAACAUUCACUUUUCCUCUAAAAGCUUUUUCCUUUUCUCAUCAUUUCUCUUCUGAUCGAAACUGUGAAAAAUGGGCACCGAUCAAACUCAGAUCUCCGACGAAUAUGUCUCCGGUAACAAGUCCGGUGUCGGUGGUGGAAUCUCCGAUGUUUACGGUGAAGAUAGUGCCACACUGGAUCAACUCGUCACUCCUUGGGUUACCUCUGUCGCAAGGUACCAUCAUAAAAUCUUUUUAGGGAUCUUCUAUUCAAGAAUCGCAAAAGAUUUCAUAAUAACUUGUAAACCAAGAAAUGUUGGAUCUUUCUAUUCUUGUUUUUUUGUGACAAUUUUUACAAAGUUGUAAAAUUUUUUUAUAGUGGGUAUACAUUGAUGCGUGAUCCUCGUUACAAUAAAGGACUUGCAUUUACUGAUAAAGAGAGAGAUACUCAUUACAUAACUGGUCUUCUUCCUCCUGUAGUUUUAUCUCAAGAUGUUCAGGUGAUUUUGAUGUUUAUGUUUUGAGUAGAAUCUUCAUUUUCUUUUGAGGUUAUGUUGAUUUCUGUUUGUGUGUUUAUAGGAGAGGAAAGUGAUGGGAUGCACAGGCUAUGGGNNNNNNNNNNNNNNNNNNNNNNNNNNNNNNNNNNNNNNNNNNNNNNNNNNNNNNNNNNNNNNNNNNNNNNNNNNNNNNNNNNNNNNNNNNNNNNNNNNNNUUGAUAUAUCAUUUACUAUUACUCUUGGUUUCAGUUUGAAGAUUUUGCAAACCACCAUGCGUUUGAGCUUCUCUCUAAGUACUGCUCCAGUCAUCUCGUUUUCAAUGAUGAUAUCCAAGUAAGAACUUGUGUUCAACAUUGGUAUCAUUUGUGAGUUUUUAAAAGGUGACUAGCAAGAAUUUAAUUUGUUUUGUCGGUGUAAAACUGCAGGGCACUGCAUCAGUGGUUCUUGCCGGGCUUAUUGCGGCUCAGAAAGUACUUGGUAAAAGCCUAGCUGACCAUACUUUUUUGUUCUUGGGGGCUGGAGAGGUGAGACCUGAAAACAUAUACCAAAUGAACUUUUUUUGUCAAGUAUUUGUUUAUUUUGUUAUGUUGCUAAAGGUUUUUAUCUUCUUUGAAGGCUGGAACCGGAAUCGCUGAGCUAAUUGCUCUUAAAAUUUCGAGAGAGGUUAGAUAGUUUUUCGCGGUUUCGCCUUCUUGAGUAUUUUUUCAUUAAUUCCUUGGCUCCUUCUUACCAAGAACAUGUGACUGUAUUGUUUUGCAGACUGGAAAACCAAUCGAUGAGACCCGGAAGAAGAUUUGGCUUGUGGACUCCAAGGUAUUGUUGACUACAUCAUUGUUAACUAUUACUUUCUUGUUCAUUUACGAAACAUCCUUUGGAUUAUCUUGCAGGGACUGAUUGUUAGCUCACGAAAAGAAUCGCUUCAGCAUUUUAAGCAGCCAUGGGCGCAUGACCACAAGCCCGUCAAGGAGCUCUUGGGAGCUGUUAAUGUAAUUUAGAAAACUCAUCUUAAUAUCUCUUCAUGAGUAGAGGAGAAAUGUAUCUCAGACAUUUUUAGUUCUUGUCUUAAAUCAGGCAAUCAAGCCAACUGUGCUUAUUGGAACUUCUGGUGUGGGUAAGACAUUCACUAAGGAAGUAGUGGAGGCCAUGGCCACCUUGAACGAGGUUUUGUUUUUUCCUUCUUUCAAUCUGCUUUCUAUCUAUAUAUGCUCUUGUUUCUCAUGCACAUCUUUGUGUGGUUGGUUACAGAAACCAUUGAUUCUUGCUCUCUCAAACCCAACUUCUCAAGCCGAGUGCACAGCGGAAGAAGCUUACACAUGGACCAAGGUAACGAUCAAAAGCUUAUUGAUACCGUCAUGCACAACUGUAAAUUUGCAUUUGAUGUGACUAAAGAAGCUUGUGUUCGAUUAUAGGGUCGUGCAAUCUUUGCAAGUGGAAGCCCGUUUGACCCUGUUGAGUAUGAUGGCAAAAAAUUCAUGCCUGGCCAGGUUCGUUGAUUUUCUAUUGUAACAUUUUUCUGAACAAUUCAUGUCCUUCCGAUAACAUCCCUUUUUUAGGCAAACAACUGCUACAUUUUCCCGGGUCUCGGUCUUGGUUUGAUCAUGUCCGGUGCCAUACGUGUUCGCGAUGACAUGCUUCUCGCAGCUUGUAAGUACAAGACACUCCUUUAAAAACCUGUUUUUAAAAAAUUGACACAUUGUCAUAUAACACUGCACUCUCAUGAGCUGCCCCUAAAUGGUUUCAUGGUACUCGCCUAAAAUACUAAAAUACAACACUCUCUUAUCAUAAGUUUGUUUCGUAAUUAACCUGCCAUAUAAUUUUUUGUUUUUCCAAAAGAUAAAUUGUAGUUAUUCUGCCUCAUAAUUUUUCAUUUAUUUCGCUAAUUAGUCAAUUAAAGAUCCGCCAUAAAUCACGAGAAAUGAUCUAAGACCAUUUGUCACUAGAAGUUUCACCGUUACUAUUUAGACCAUUUGUUUUUUUUUAACUUAUGUUUUCUAUCAGCUGAAGCGCUGGCCUCCCAAGUGACAGAAGAGAAUUUCGCUAACGGAUUGAUCUAUCCGCCUUUUGCAAACAUCAGAAAGAUCUCAGCUAACAUUGCAGCCAGUGUGGGAGCCAAAACCUACGAACUAGGUUAGCUUCAUAAUUCUUCAUAUUAAAAAUAUGAUUAGUAAAAAAAAAAUAAUCUCAUUUGUAAAAUCUGAUGUCAUGUUGUUCUUGGUGGUGUUGCAGGACUGGCAUCGAAUCUGCCUCGUCCUAAGGACCUCGUAAAGAUGGCAGAGAGCUGCAUGUACAGUCCUGUCUACAGAAACUUCCGUUAAAACAUUCUUUGCUCAUUUUUGUCCUCAGCUUUUUUUACUUUUUGCUUUUCAGUUUUGGUGCUUUCUAUAUAGGAUAACUUCUACACUAUUUUUACUUCUUUUACUUUUGCUUUUACUUUAAAUAAUGAAACAUUUUAAUUUAAUUUUUAUGAAUUGUGAAAUAAUCUAUUAUUCAUUUUUUGCCGUACGCGUGUUAGGUUAUGGUUUUCUCAGUUUUUCUAGACAUUAAAUGACAAUUAAAUAAAUUUAAUUUAGGUAAAACUGCAGUGGUACAUAAGUAAGACGAAAAGAUUGGUGUGGGAUUGGUGUGGGCAAUGCAAUGUUUGGACAACCUUUUGGUUUACAGGAGGUAGCUUUUGAGAGUGGCUCCAAAAACUUGAUGACAGCUAUUAAUGAUCCUAUGUCUGGUUUGAGGUUGAUAAAAUUUACAGAUCUCAUUUUGGGUCCAAGAAGGAAUUUGAAGCCAUGUUUAAGGUUUAGAAGAAGGGAGGGAACUAAUUGUGUUGAUGCUAUUGCUAAAUUUGCAUCUUCAUGUGAUGUGUAUUACACUUUGUUAGAUUGUAGGAGUCCACCUUUGGUUACAAACUUACACUCAAUGGUGGAUCAUGAGAAGCAAUGUAAUGGUUCUUGAGUAUCCUCUGAAUAUUAAAAGAGAGUUUUUGAUGCUGAUGUUGCAAGCCCAUAAUUUUUCUCAGCUUUUUUUUUAAUUCUACUAAAAUAAUUGCCAAACACAUUGUUUCUUAUUUUCAUUCUCUUUAAACCAUUAACCAAACACACCUAAAUUUCUUCUAAUAUGUAUAGUUACCAUAUAUAAAUAAUUGUAUAUUUCUCUAUUAUUAUUAUAUUAAUAAUUUUGAUAUAUCUACAAUAAAAUAACUCCUUUUUUAAAUGCACAUCUAAUUUUUUUUUCUUACUAAAUAUUCGAUUCUAUAGAUUAUUUGAAUUAGUUGUAAUCUUUUAAUAUUUAAAAAUUAUAUGUUAUAUAUAUAUAUGUGUGUAUAUAUAUUUAUCUAAUAUUUAGUAUAAAAAAUUAUUUCAUUGACGCAUAGUGAGACCAUCAAUUUGAUUCGGAAACUUGGAAAAUAUUUUGUUUUAAUUUUCGAAUUAUGUUUAACAUAUAUUAUCAAACUCAACACAACCACUAUGUAUGUACUCUUAAGAUGUAAUGAAAAUUCUUAAUAAAUUAAUACCAAUUUAUAUAUUUAUUAUGAAUAAGACUAUUAAUAAAAUUAUUAAAUAGUUUAAGAUUUAUCCGUGUCAUCCUAGUUAAUUUUAAGUGAGUAUGUUUAGAGGAAAAAAAGGAAGAAAAUUAAAUUUAGGUAAACUAUAAUUGUUUAAGUUCUUAUUACAAAAUAAUAUAACUGUAUCCAAAAAAUUAGAAAUAAAACUUAACACUUGAUUUUAUCCAUUUAAAUAUUCAUGUAUCCUAGAAUAAUCAUUAAUACUUUAAAUAGUAAUAUAGAGCUUAUAAUACAGUCAUACAUUUGUUAUUCUAGAUGUCCACAUAAAAAAAAAAUCAUAGAAAAGAAAUUGGGUUUUGUGCUAAAAAAUCCUCAAAGUCGUCAAUUUUUGCAACUUUACCCUCCAUCUCCGAAAAAUGCAAAAUAAUCCUAUGAAAUCAAAUAUAGCCAUUUUUUGCUACUGUCAAGUUUUUAAAAAUUUGAUAAGUAACAUAUCAAAUCGAAACCCUCGAGACAAGGAAUUUUCAACCUUUAGAUUUUUUAAAAUCAAAUAUAUGUGAUCGUGAAUACGUUGGCGUCGUAGGAGUAUUCUGCAUUUUUCGAAGGUUGGAGGUAAAGUUACAAAAAUAGACUACUUUGAAGUUUUUUUGCAUAAAACCCAAAGAAUUUUGCAUCCCAAAAUAUUUAAAUUACAACGGUAAGAAGUUCAUCAACAUGUUUUUUAACUAUUUUACAUACGAUUUGAAUGGUGAUAAAGAAAUAUAACAAAGGUGGUUAAUGCUGAUCGGAUGGAACAAAAGAUAUGUAAAAUGUUGAACAAAUUUUGAAUGGUGAUUAAGUAAAUACGGUGCAUGUAUAAUAACUAUCAAAUUUUGACUACUUGUUUUCUAAUGUUUCGAGUAUCGGAAAAUAGAAUUUGAAUAAAAUUGAAUUGGAUGACAAAAUUAAAUCAUUCUAAUAAAUAUGGUGCACCGCAUUCGAAAAACAGAAUUCGAUUAUUAUUGAUUAAGAAAAUAGGGAGCACCACAUUUUUUAUGCCACCAAUUAUAGUCUUAAUAUGAAAACUUUAUUUGAUACUUUACUAAUUAACUACCACCAUUUUUAUCUUUAUCGAAUAUUAGAAAGUAAUUAUUCUUUUUCUGUGCAUAAUAAAUUAAUUAUUCUAACUAUAUUAAAAGGGAAAUGAAUAAAGCGCAAAGAAGUGUAAAAAGAGAAUAUUUGAAGUGAUUUUGGGCCUAAAAUUACAAUCAUUGCAAAGUCAAUGAUCCCAUGUAUCAUAUAUCUCAAAAGUCAAGAAAAGAUAAAUAAAUAAUUAUAAAGAGAAAGAUAAAAAGGUUAAUUAACAAGUGGUGGCCCUCCAUUGGAAGCAUAGUUAUUCAUGAUAAUGAACUAAUGAUGAUUGUUUUGAUUUCUUUUGUUAGAAUGGUUAUACAUUCAUUGAACAUCUAUAAUGGUUCUUAACCUUUUUCUUUAAAAAAUGGUAGGCAUGCCUAAAUGUGUAUGAGAAUUGGUAUCAAAAUUUUAAUCAUAACUUCUUCUUUUGGAACACAGUUUUAGCCGUUUUUCAUUUUCUUUUAUCAUUGUUCUUUCGGUUGUUUUAUGAACUUACAUAUAUAUUUUUUUCACUGCUAAACUGUUAAAAUAAAUUUGAUUUUAAAUGUUUCAUUAUUUUUUUUGUCUAUAGAUGAUAUAUAUAUAUAUAUAUAUAAUUAUAAAAAAAUAUAGACAAAAAAAAUAAUGAAACAUUUAAAAUCAAAUUUAUUUUAAUUAUAAACUGUUUUCUAUAUUUUUAGCCAACAAAAAGCGGAUAAAAUUUAUAAAUUCUAUGGAAGUACAAAACUUUUACUAAUUUGAGAAUUUGUAUUAUCUUUUAUCUUGGGGAAAAAAAAUUUGUAUUAUAUAUAUAUAUAUAUAUAUAUAUAUAUCAUUUUACAUGAACUUUUUGAAAUAUAUUAUAUUGAUUCAUACAUAUAUUUUCAGUUAUCUUGAUUUCUAAAAUUAUUAGAUAAUUCAUGUUUGGGCAUGAAUAAAUUCGGUUUAUUAUCAGAUUAAAAUGCACUCGCCUACUCAUUGGUUUGGUAUAAAUUUCUUUAUAUGUUUUCUUUUUGAUAAUUCAGGUGCAUCCCACAAGUAGAACUUUUCUUUGGAUAUUCAAAUGACCCGUAAACAUAGACCCAUAUCCGUAUGAGUAUCAAGAAAAAAUAUGUUUGAGUUUCAUGCACUAUGUAGAUCAAACUUGAAGCGUGUUGACGCCCCAAAUCCGUCUCCUUACCACUUGACUACAAAGCCCGGACAAAUUUCUUGUUAUGUUAUUUACAACUGAACACAUAUUUUAAAUUCGAGUUCUAACAAGACAACAAACUAAUACAAACCAUUAACCUAGAAGCUGUGUCAUUAUUAGGGUGAUGAUUUUUCUUGGUAUGUUGAUGAUUUCUUGAAUCCAUUGAGCUAGGUCUUUUUUAUUUUUAGAGGAUUUUCUAUAGCUCAAUAUAAGUCUAUUUUAUAAUAUUUUUUAUAAAGCAUAACUAUUUCCAUCCUAUUUUUUUUAUAUACAACUUUAUAUCUUCAUAAAUUAUUGGUUAUUUUAUUUUAUCUUGUGGAUUAGGUUUCUUGUUAUAAGGGAUCAUCUAUAUAUAUAAUAGGAGAGUUGUCUCUCCAUAUAGGGUGUCCACAUCAUCAUCCAAGUCACCUUAUUUUAAUUUUGUGUGGGUUCUACAUAUUUUAUUUAAUAAAAGAAAUAAUAUUAAAACUAUAAUUAAUUCCCUCAUUUUGUAAUUUAUAUUAGUAUUAUAUUUCAUUAAACAAAAACAAUAAUUUACAAUAGAAUAAAUUAAAUAUUAAAAAAAACAAAAAAUAUAAUAGGAGAGUUGUCUCUCCGUAUAGGGUGUCCACAUCAUCAUCCAAGUCACCUUAUUUUAAUUUUGUGUGGGUUCCACAUAUUUUAUUUAAUAAAAAAUAAUAAUAUUAAAACUAUAAUUAAUUUCCUCAUUUUUUAAUUUAUAUUAUUAUUAUAUUUCAUUAAAAAACAAUAAUUUACAAUAGAAUAAAUUAAAUAUUUAAAAAAACCAAAAAAAAUAAAUUUAUAACACAAAAUAUGAAAUUUUUGAAUAGAGAUUGGAUAAACAUAAAAUUAGAUAAUUGUAUCCUAACAUAUAAUUUGUAAAUAUUCCUAUAUGACUAGAUAUGAAAGAAAAAAAAACUUAUCAUAUAUUUUAAUGAUUAAACAAUUAUUUUAAGAGUAACAAUUAUUUAGUAGAAUAAAGAAAAGUAAGAAUUAAAAAUAUAUUAAAUUUAAAGGUUUUUACUGAAAAUAAAAAGUAAUUCAUUUCUGAAAAAAUUUAAAAUUAAAAAUAUAUUUUUAAUGUUAACGUAUUAAUUCAUGAUACUGAUUUUUUGAAGAAGGGAUAUUACUAUUUAUAAUUAUAAUAUAAUAUAAAUAUUUUUAUUAAUAAAAUUUUCUAUAUUAUCAGUGUUUUCUAAAUUAAAAAGUGGUGGAUUUUUUUAAAAAAAUCAAAUGAAUACCUAAAAAAAGAAAAACUAAAUAUUAAUUAGUGUUUAUGAAAUUUUAACAUAGAUCAAAAAAAUUUAAGGUGAUUUGAAAUAAAACAAAACUAUCCUAAAAACACAAAUAAAAAUAAAAUAAUCCAAUCGAAUAAAAAAUUGUGUGGUAAUAAUAUUUACGAAUGCUAUUUGGAAAUUAGAAUAGUAAUGGUAUACUGAAGAGAUUUGAAUUAAAACUAAAAAUGAAGGAUUAAAAAAUUGUAUUUUAAAAUUAGAAUGAUUUAUAUGAGUUCGUAAGUUACUCAAUUUACGAAAAUCAACAUUAAACAUAAUAUAUGUGAAAUUAUAUAUGUGAAUUUGUUUUUUGUAUUUUUCAAAAGGUCAAGAUAAAUUGCAAAAUUCGAUGUUGAAAUACGAUGUUUUUGAAUAGGAAUGAGUUCAUAUAUGAGAUUUGUUGUCUAUAAAGCAAUUUUACAUCUUUUACAUGCACCAAACAUGAUCAAAAAAACUUUACGACAAAUAUCUCCCGAGAUUUUUUAAUGUUCACUUUAAUAAAAAGUUCAUGCAACUUAUAAAAAAAAUUUGAGUAUUGAAAGAUAUGAAUGAUAAAAUAUAUACGAUCUAUCUUGAGAACUAAUGCAUAGUCGAGAAUAUUAUAUGUGAGUCAAUAUAAGGUGAAAAGAGAGUAGAUGUCGGGAUACAACGAGUGAAUCAUAGAAGAUAUAUAACAAGAAAAAUU